rnacentral:rRNA from 1 species
UGAGGAAUAUUGGUCAAUGGUCGGAAGACUGAACCAGCCAUGCCGCGUGCAGGAAGAAUGCCUUAUGGGUUGUAAACUGCUUUUAUAUGGGAAGAAUAAGGCGUACGUGUACGUUGAUGACGGUACCAUAUGGAUAAGCAUCGGCUAACUCCGUGCCAGCAGCCGCGGUAAUACGGAGGAUGCGAGCGUUAUUCGGAAUCAUUGGGUUUAAAGGGUCUGUAGGCGGGCUAUUAAGUCAGGGGUGAAAGGUUUCAGCUUAACUGAGAAAUUGCCUUUGAUACUGGUAGUCUUGAAUAUCUGUGAAGUGCUUGGAAUGUGUAGUGUAGCGGUGAAAUGCUUAGAUAUUACACAGAACACCGAUUGCGGAGGCAGGGGACUAACAGACGAUUGACGCUGAGAGACGAAAGCGUGGGGAGCGAACAGG